UAUGUAUGUAUAUCUAUAUAUAUAUAUAUAUAUAUAUAUAUAUAUAUAUAUAUAUAUAUAUAUAUGCAGUAGGAGCAUUGAUAUUCCUGUUUGUAAACUAUGUAACCAGGAUACUAUAUGUUGAUAUGUAUAUAUGCAUGGCAGGUGUGGAUAUUUUAUGUAUAUAAAGGACAAAUUCCUCCCAUCUCCAUGGAAACAAAAAUAAAAUAUAUAAAUGAAAAAUGAAAAGAAAAAUUAAAUGAAAUCUUUAUCUUUGCCCAAUAUUUGCCAAAA